rnacentral:rRNA from 1 species
UGGGGAAUAUUGCACAAUGGGCGCAAGCCUGAUGCAGCCAUGCCGCGUUUAUGAAGAAGGCCUUCGGGUUGUAAAGUACUUUCAGCGGGGAGGAAGGGAGUAAAGUUAAUACCUUUGCUCAUUGACGUUACCCGCAGAAGAAGCACCGGCUAACUCCGUGCCAGCAGCCGCGGUAAUACGGAGGGUGCAAGCGUUAAUCGGAAUUACUGGGCGUAAAGCGCACGCAGGCGGUUUGUUAAGUCAGAUGUGAAAUCCCCGGGCUCAACCUGGGAACUGCAUCUGAUACUGGCAAGCUUGAGUCUCGUAGAGGGGGGUAGAAUUCCAGGUGUAGCGGUGAAAUGCGUAGAGAUCUGGAGGAAUACCGGUGGCGAAGGCGGCCCCCUGGACGAAGACUGACGCUCAGGUGCGAAAGCGUGGGGAGCAAACA